AAGUCGUAACAAGGUUUCCGUAGGUGAACCUGCGGAAGGAUCAUUAACACGUAUCCAACGUUAAAACAACCCCCGUGAACUUUCAGCUUGCUCCUGUAGCCCGUGAAAACAGCAAUCCCUCACAGUACGAAUUGGCCGCGCGUGAAAUUCGCACGGCACCAAAAACCGAACAACUGUUAACAAUGGAUAUCUUGGUUCUC
rnacentral:misc_RNA from 1 species